GGAGAAGCCAAAUGUAUUGUCCAAUAUUAGCAAUAAGGUAUCAUUAAUAAUCACUGAAUCUCAUAUACUGUUUAUAAAACCAAAGUAUUGCCUGUCUUAGUACUAUUCCUAAAAUAUGCAUGUUCAAAAGCAACAAGAUUCAAUUAGAAAUGAAUUUCCAAGAUCUAGAUUCAUGUUCAAAAGCAAAUAGGUUUAUAAAGAAUUUUUUUCUUCUUCUUCUUAAGAUAAACAAGAGGGAACUGGAAGGGGUGAAAAGGUUACCUUAUCAGUAAUCCAUAGC
rnacentral:misc_RNA from 1 species